UUGAACGCUGGCGGCAUGCCUUACACAUGCAAGUCGAACGGUAGAGGAGCAAUCCUCGAGAGUGGCGAACGGGUGAGUAACGCAUCGGAACGUGCCCAGUAGUGGGGGAUAGCCCGGCGAAAGCCGGAUUAAUACCGCAUGUUACCUGAGGGUGAAAGCGGGGGACUCGCAAGAGCCUCGCGCUACUGGAGCGGCCGAUGUCAGAUUAGGUAGUUGGUGGGGUAAAAGCCUACCAAGCCGACGAUCUGUAGCUGGUCUGAGAGGACGACCAGCCACACUGGGACUGAGACACGGCCCAGACUCCUACGGGAGGCAGCAGUGGGGAAUUUUGGACAAUGGGCGAAAGCCUGAUCCAGCCAUGCCGCGUGCAGGAUGAAGGCCUUCGGGUUGUAAACUGCUUUUGUACGGAACGAAAAGACUCCUUCUAAUACAGGGGGUCCAUGACGGUACCGUAAGAAUAAGCACCGGCUAACUACGU
rnacentral:rRNA from 1 species